rnacentral:rRNA from 1 species
GACGAACGCUGGCGGCGUGCUUAACACAUGCAAGUCGAACGAAGAGCGAUGGGAGCUUGCUUCUAUCAAUCUUAGUGGCGAACGGGUGAGUAACGCGUAAUCAACCUGCCCUUCAGAGGGGGACAACAGUUGGAAACGCCUGCUAAUACUGCAUACGAUCUCAUCUCGGCAUCGAGGAUAGAUGAACGGUGGCCUCUACAUGUAAGCUAUCACUGAAGGAGGGGAUUGCGUCUGAUUAGCUAGUUGGCGGGGUAGCGCCCCACCAAGGCGAUGAUCAGUAGCAGGACGGAGAGGAUGAACGGCCACAUUGGGACGGAGACACGGCCCAGACUGCUACGGGAGGCAGCAGUGGGGAAUCUUCCGCCAUGGACGAAAGUCUGACGGAGCAACGCCGCGUGAGUGAUGACGGACUUCGGGUUGUAAAGCUCUGUUAAUCGGGACGAAAGGCCUUCUUGCGAACAGUUAGAAGGAUUGACGGUACCGGAAUAGAAAGCCACGGCUAACUACGUG